UACGUAGGGGGCAAGCGUUGUCCGGAUUUAUUGGGCGUAAAGAGCGUGUAGGCGGCUAGACAGGUCCGCUGUGAAAACUCGAGGCUCAAUCUCGAGACGUCGGUGGAAACCGUCUGGCUAGAGUCCGGAAGAGGAGAGUGGAAUUCCCGGUGUAGCGGUGAAAUGCGCAGAUAUCGGGAAGAACACCCGUGGCGAAGGCGGCUCUCUGGGACGGUACUGACGCUGAGACGGCGAAAGCGUGGGGAGCGAACAGG
rnacentral:rRNA from 1 species